UCUAUGCUAACUUUCCUGCCACAUGAAUUCUUUAAAAAUCCAUUGUUAUCUUGGAUAUGUUAUGUUUCCAUAGCCAGGCUCAACUGUAAGGAUAAAAGACGACUGUGAGACACUUGACAGUUUACAGAGAGUAUUUUCCCUUUCCCCACUCUUUGGAUCUUAGGCAUUUGAAUUUAAACGUGCAUCAUGACUGACCACACAGUGGCAGGCCCUGAGCUCUAGACCUAAUUUCUCGGACUCCAAAAAAUCUAGUCUUUCUUGGAAAAAGCCAGAUGCGUUUUUGAACAAGUCAUGACGAAAAGGCCUCCCAUCCAGCCCUCCAAGGAUAUUACACAGGCCCUUUGGCAUUUAAACAACAGUUUCCACUGAGAAUCUUUGAUUGGUCUGCAUUAUGAAGAACGACCCCCAAAUUAGUCGCAAGGAGCACCCAGAGAUGAAAUGGCUUGGUCUAAUAUGUUCACCUCCCUCACCAUGCCAUUUGUGGAUCCACUUUCACUCCCAUAGGGUCACAGACACCCACAGCAUGUGUGCACGCACAUGUGUGUGCACACACACACAGACACACACACACACACACACACACACACCCUUCUCUUUAGGGCUGAGAACUGAAUCACCUGGCUGUCUUUUCUCAGCAGUGUUAUGAUCUGGGCUCAGUCCCCACUUGUGUUUUUUCCCUUUUUAAAAUUGUGGUAAAAUAUAUAUAACAAAAAAAUGUAUUAUUUCAACCAGUUUUAAGUGUCCAGUCCUGUGACAUUAAAUACAUUCACAGUGUUCACCAUUUGUCUCCAGAACUUGUUCAUCUUCCCAAACUGAAACAUGUCCGUUAAACACAAGCUCCCUGUUGCUCUCCACCCUGCCCCUGUCAACCACGGCUCUACUUUCUGGGUCUUUGAAUUUGAUUACACUAGGUUCUUCAUAUAAGCAGAAUCAUACCAUAUUUGACCUUUUGCCAUUUUCUCGAUGGUAAUAGGUCAUCUGAUUCCAGAGCUGGCCCACGGGACUGGGUGUUGAUGGGGUGACCGGCUCAGGAGGAGUGACAGGAGAGUCCAGAGCCCAGAAACAGCCCUGGUUAGAAUCAGGGGGGCUCUCACCCCGACGACAGCUGGAAAUUCUUUCUGCUCUCCUGCAAGCUGGGUGUUACAAACCGGAGACUUUUCAAGCCCAGUCCCAAACACAGGAAUUCUCCCCUCGUCAGUCUGUCUCCUGGGCCCCAACGAGACAGCUGUACUUCCCACGCAAGCAAAAGCAUUCAACUGUGAGAGCUCUUGCCUGGGUCAGCUUGCUCAGCUCAUCCUUGAAAGAGAACAUAAGCUCCUCCCAAGGAAUGACCAUUUUUCUGCUCCAGGUCGUAUAGAAUGCGGGGUAGAGGACUUUCAAAAUGUCCCUUGCUGCUAUCAGCAGCAAGAGCACAAUCUAUGCCAUCCCGGGUCGGCAUUGCAAUUGCAUUUGCUCAGCCAGUUCUUUGAAAUUUACCAAAAGGAUCUGAGUCACACGCAUGAUCCUUCCACUGGCUUUUGUGAAGGGAAUCCCAUUAAUGCAACUUCUGAUCCAGGAACGAGGACAGAGGAUGGCAUGGCAUGGAAGAGACAGGAGCCGAUGAGGCCGCUUUGGGCCUGACUUCCAGCCUCCAGAACUGUGGGGGAAUACAUUCCUGUUGUAAGCCAAGCUUCACCAAGUUUGUGGUCCUGUUACAGCAGCCCUGGGAAACAGAUACGAAGGCUGAGGUUGGUAAUCCUUUCUGUGGGUGCUCCUCCUUUCUGUGGGUGCUCCUCCUGAGACACUCACCAGAAGGCCGUGGUGGGCUUGGCUCUGGGGAUUCUGUGAGCUGGGAGGGGAACCGACAGCAGUGGGCUCAUUCUACCAAAAAGCCGAGGGGACAGAGGAAAAUGUGACCUGUCCAAAGUGUCACUCUGUGCAGGUAAGACAACAAGAAGAGAGUUGGUUCGUUCAUUCGCCCACUCAUUCACCUCCUACUUGGGGAGCCCUACGCAGUGCCAGGCUCUGGGAACACAAAGGUACGAAGACCAGAGCCAGCCCCGCUCUGCCCUCAGGGAGCUCGCGUCUGAGAAGGUACCUGCUAGUCACUGAGGAGGUUGGGUGGAUGAGCACAAAGAUUUCCUCCAGCUCUGGCAUUCGGUGGCUGAAAGGGAGCAAGGAGGGCAGCCUGGCUGGGGCCUACAGUGCUGCCACCAGGGCAUUUGGGGGGGCCGCUGCUAUCUCUUU